UGGGUUUCACUACUGUGGAUCAAAUUUGAGGCAUCAAAACCCAACAAUCUCUAUCUCGACUUGACAUUUGACCUUCAAUGGCCGUCAGUAUUACAAUAGAAAUACUUUCCUUUAUUUGCAACCUUUUUUGGAGUGUCCUUCUUUGGCUUUUUCUCUUUCUUCUACUUCUUCAUAGGUAUGUUCUUUUUUUCCCUGAAGAUUUUUUUUGAAAGAAGAUGCCUGCUCCACAAUAAGAACGAAGCCCUUUGAACUCUUCGAGGUCCCCUCUGCAGUAAUCAACAUG
rnacentral:lncRNA from 1 species